rnacentral:lncRNA from 1 species
AGCCAUAUAGCAAGUUGAAUCUGCUUGGCAAAAAUGUGAUCACAGCAUUGCGUAAAAAGAGACAUAAACCGCGUGGCAUUUUUAGCAGACGAAAAACGUCUUGUUUCCUCAUUUCAAAGUAACAAACAACACACAGUUCCUAUCUUAAUCAUAUUUAUGUUCUUCUUCGUUACCAGCUCUGGGCCUCUUGUCUUACUCAAAAACUCUCUGACCAAACAAAGAGCUUCUAUGAUUUCCCUGUUUCGUAGCUAAUCGUUAGUCUCCUGUAUCUCAAAGGGUUUGUCCCGAUCUCAAAUGCAUCGUCUUAGAAGUACUCAAGUAGCGAGAUUAAUCGUUGUAAAACAUAGGAAUAAAUAUUUUAUAGAUAUUUUGUGUUAAAAGUAGGUGUUUGGAUAACCGAUAUCCGAUUUAUAACGA